GAAAGGGAGAUUAAUACCGGAUGUGAUGGCAACAUUAAAGGUGGAGCAAUCUGCCGCUUUGGGAUGGGCUCGCGGCCUAUCAGCUUGUUGGUGGUGUAAAGGACCACCAAGGCGAUGACGGGUAGCUGGUCUGAGAGGACGACCAGUCACACUGGAACUGAGACACGGUCCAGACACCUACGGGUGGCAGCAGUCGAGAAUCAUUCACAAUGGGCGAAAGCCUGAUGGUGCGACGCCGCGUGGAGGACGAAGGCCCUAGGGUCGUAAACUCCUGUCAUCAGGGAGUAAGGUGUUUACCAGUAACUGGGUAGGCAAUUGAUAGUACCUGAAGAGGAAGGGACGGCUAACUUCGUGCCAGCAGCCGCGGUAAUACGAAGGUCCCGAGCGUUGUUCGGAUUUACUGGGCGUAAAGAGUCUGUAGGCUGUAAAGUAAGUCAGGUGUGAAAUCCCGAGGCUCAACCUCGGAACUGCACCCGAUACUGCUUUACUGGAGUAUUGGAGGGGAAUCUGGAAUUCUCGGUGUAGCAGUGAAAUGCGUAGAUAUCGAGAGGAACACUAGUGGCGAAGGCGAGAUUCUGGACAA
rnacentral:rRNA from 1 species